rnacentral:ncRNA from 1 species
AUUCAAUACAUGCGAGAAGCGCCGACCUCGCGGUAGGCGUGCAUUUAUCAGACCAAAAACCGGCCGCGUCUUCGGGCGCGUUCGCCUUGGUGACUCUGGAUAACUUUGCGGAUCGCACGGUCUAGCACCGGCGACGGAUCAUUCAAGUGUCUGCCCUAUCAACUUUCGUCGGUACGGUAUUUGCCUACCGAGGUUCUUACGGGUGACGGGGAAUCAGGGUUCGAUUCCGGAGAGGGAGCCUGAGAAACGGCUACCACAUCCAAGGAAGGCAGCAGGCGCGCAAAUUACCCAUUCCCGACGCGGGGAGGUAGUGACGAAAAAUAACAAUGCAGGACUCGUUCGAGGCCCUGUAAUUGGAAUGAGUACACUUUAAAAGCUUUAACGAGUAUCCAUUGGAGGGCAAGUCUGGUGCCAGCAGCCGCGGUAAUUCCAGCUCCCAAAGUAUAUAUUUAAGUUGUUGCGGUUAAAAAGCUCGUAGUUGGUUUUGGGCGCGGGCGGCCGGUCCGUCGCAAGGCGUGUACUGGACGUCCUGGGCCUUCCUUCCGGUCUCCGCCGGUGCUCUUGACUGAGUGUCGGCGGGCGGCGGGAACGUUUACUUUGAAAAAAUUAGAGUGUUCAAAGCACGCUCUCGAGCCUGGAUAAUGGGGCAUGGAAAAAUGGAAUAGGACC